GGCGGGGCCUCUCUUACUCCAUCCUCAGGGUCUUGUGAGUGACUACGGACCUAAAAUCCCCACACCCGCCCCUGAAUUUACCCCAGAAAUGUUUUUGUUUCAGGAACAGCUGACUUUCGAAGAUGUGGCCAUCGAUUUCUCUCAGGAGGGGUGGGAAUGCCUGACCCUGCUCAGAGGGCCUUGUACAGGGACAUGAUGUUGGAGACGUAAAGGAACCCGAUCUCCCUGGGGGACACGGGUUCGAGUCUUGGUCCGGGAAGAUCCCACAUGCCGCGGAGCAGCUAAUCCUGUACACCACAACUACUGAGCCUGAGCCCUAGAGCCCACGAGCCACAACUCCUCAGCCCACGCACUGCAUCUACUGAAGCCCAAGUGCUCCAGAGCCCGUGCUCCGCAAGAAGAGAAGCCACCGCAAUGAGAAGCCCGCGCACUGCAACGAAGAGUAGCUCCUGCUCGCCACAACUAGAGAAAGCCCGCAUGCAGCAACGAAGACCCAACACAGCCAAAAAAUAAUAAAUAAAUAAAA